AUUGAACGCUGGCGGCAGGCCUAACACAUGCAAGUCGAGCGGAUGAAGGGAGCUUGCUCCUGGAUUCAGCGGCGGACGGGUGAGUAAUGCCUAGGAAUCUGCCUGGUAGUGGGGGAUAACGUCCGGAAACGGGCGCUAAUACCGCAUACGUCCUGAUGGAGAAAGUGGGGGUUCUUCGGACCUCACGCUAUCAGAUGAGCCUAGGUCGGAUUAGCUAGUUGGUGGGGUAAAGGCCUACCAAGGCGACGAUCCGUAACUGGUCUGAGAGGAUGAUCAGUCACACUGGAACUGAGACACGGUCCAGACUCCUACGGGAGGCAGCAGUGGGGAAUAUUGGACAAUGGGCGAAAGCCUGAUCCAGCAAUGCCGCGUGUGUGAAGAAGGUCUUCGGAUUGUAAAGCACUUUAAGUUGGGAGGAAGGGCAGUAAGUUAAUACCUUGAUGUUUUGACGUUACCAACAGAAUAAGCACCGGCUAACUUCGUG
rnacentral:rRNA from 1 species